GGAGAAGCUCUGUAGUUCAGUGGCAGAGCAUCUGCUUUGCACGCAGUGGCACUUGGAAGGUCCCAGGUUCAGUCCCUGGCAUCUCCA